AGUGAACGCUGGCGGUAGGCCUAACACAUGCAAGUCGAACGGCAGCACAGUAAGAGCUUGCUCUUACGGGUGGCGAGUGGCGGACGGGUGAGGAAUACAUCGGAAUCUACUUUUUCGUGGGGGAUAACGUAGGGAAACUUACGCUAAUACCGCAUACGACAUACGGGUGAAAGCAGGGGAUCUUCGGACCUUGCGCGAUUGAAUGAGCCGAUGUCGGAUUAGCUAGUUGGCGGGGUAACGGCCCACCAAGGCAACGAUCCGUAGCUGGUCUGAGAGGAUGAUCAGCCACACUGGAACUGAGACACGGUCCAGACUCCUACGGGAGGCAGCAGUAGGGAAUCUUGGACAAUGGGCGCAAGCCUGAUCCAGCCAUACCGCGUGAGUGAAGAAGGCCUUCGGGUUGUAAAGCCCUUUUGUUGGGAAAGAAAAGCAGCAUGUUAAUCCACCGCUGUUCUGACGGUACCCAAAGAGUAAGCACCGGCUAACUUCGUG
rnacentral:rRNA from 1 species